rnacentral:rRNA from 1 species
AGGAUAAACGACUGGCGGCGUGCCUAACACAUGCAAGUCGAACGUCCUACGCGCAAGCGUAGGGAGUGGCGGACGGGUGAGUAACACGUGGGCAAUCUACCUUUCGGUGAGGAAUACCGGCGAGAAAUCGCCGACAAGACCGCAUACGCUCGGGCAACCGAGCAAAGUCGCAAGACGCCGGAGGAGGAGCCUGCGCCCGAUUAGCUAGUUGGUGAGGUAAGAGCUUACCAAGGCGACGAUCGGUAGCUGGUCUGAGAGGAUGAUCAGCCACACUGGGAUUGAGAACGGCCCAGACUCCUACGGGGGGCAGCAGUGAGGAAUUUUCGUCAAUGGGGGCAACCCUGAACGAGCAACGCCGCGUGCAGGAUGACGCUUUUCGGAGUGUAAACUGCUUUUCUCGGGGAAGAGCAAGGGACGGUACCCGAGGAAUCGAGCCCCGGCUAACUACGCGCCAGCAGCCGC